rnacentral:rRNA from 1 species
UAGGGAAUCUUCCGCAAUGGGCGAAAGCCUGACGGAGCAACGCCGCGUGAGUGAUGAAGGUCUUCGGAUCGUAAAACUCUGUUAUUAGGGAAGAACAAAUGUGUAAGUAACUAUGCACGUCUUGACGGUACCUAAUCAGAAAGCCACGGCUAACUACGUGCCAGCAGCCGCGGUAAUACGUAGGUGGCAAGCGUUAUCCGGAAUUAUUGGGCGGAAAGCGCGCGUAGGCGGUUUUUUAAGUCUGAUGUGAAAGCCCACGGCUCAACCGUGGAGGGUCAUUGGAAACUGGAAAACUUGAGUGCAGAAGAGGAAAGUGGAAUUCCAUGUGUAGCGGUGAAAUGCGCAGAGAUAUGGAGGAACACCAGUGGCGAAGGCGACUUUCUGGUCUGUAACUGACGCUGAUGUGCGAAAGCGUGGGGAUCAAACAGG